rnacentral:rRNA from 1 species
GAGUUUGAUCAUGGCUCAGAUUGAACGCUGGCGGCAUGCCUUACACAUGCAAGUCGAACGGCAGCACGGGAGCUUGCUCCUGGUGGCGAGUGGCGAACGGGUGAGUAAUGCAUCGGAACGUAUCCUGGAGUGGGGGAUAACGUAGCGAAAGUUACGCUAAUACCGCAUAUUCUGUGAGCAGGAAAGCGGGGGACCUUCGGGCCUCGCGCUCUUGGAGCGGCCGAUGUCGGACUAGCUAGUUGGUGAGGUAAAGGCUCACCAAGGCGACGAUCCGUAGCAGGUCUGAGAGGAUGAUCUGCCACACUGGAACUGAGACACGGUCCAGACUCCUACGGGAGGCAGCAGUGGGGAAUUUUGGACAAUGGGGGCAACCCUGAUCCAGCCAUGCCGCGUGAGUGAAGAAGGCCU